UACGUAGGGGGCAAGCGUUGUCCGGAUUUAUUGGGCGUAAAGAGCGUGUAGGCGGCCAACUAAGUCCUGCGUGAAAUCUCGGGGCUCAACCCCGAGCGGUCGUGGGAAACUGGUUGGCUAGAGUGCGGGAGAGGAGAGUGGAAUUCCUGGUGUAGCGGUGAAAUGCGCAGAUAUCAGGAAGAACACCCGUGGCGAAGGCGGCUCUCUGGAACGCAACUGACGCUGAGACGCGAAAGCGUGGGGAGCAAACAGG
rnacentral:rRNA from 1 species